rnacentral:rRNA from 1 species
CUGAUAGCUCAACUAUUAGGCUUCGGGGGAUACUGCCAGACUUGGAACCGGGAGAGGUAAGAGGUACUACAGGGGUAGGAGUGAAAUCUUGUAAUCCCUGUGGGACCACCUGUGGCGAAGGCGUCUUACCAGAACGGGUUCGACGGUGAGGGACGAAAGCUGGGGGCACGAACCGGAUUAGAUACCCGGGUAGUCCCAGCCGUAAACGAUGCUCGCUAGGUGUCAGGCAUGGCGCGACCGUGUCUGGUGCCGCAGGGAAGCCGUGAAGCGAGCCACCUGGGAAGUACGGCCGCAAGGCUGAAACUUAAAGGAAUUGGCGGGGGAGCACAACAACGGGUGGAAGCCUGCGGUUUAAUUGGACUCAACGCCGGACAACUCACCGGGGGCGACAGCAAUAUGUAGGCCAAGCUGAAGACUUUGCCUGAAUCGCUGAGGGGUGGUGCAUGG